CCCCAUUCUCUCCUUCCUCCACCCCGAUCUCCUCCCUCCUCCCCGCCCCCCUCGCUUCCUCCACAGCAGCGCCCGCCCCUCUCCCCCACUAUCUCCCCCAUCCCCAUCUCUCCUGCCCCAGCCGCCUGAGCCAGCGGCAUAGCGCCCCUCCUCCCUCCUCGAGCCAGCGGCCCAGCGCCCCUCCUCCCCGCCGCCCGUCGCCUUCCGGCCCGCCUCCUCCCCGCCCGAACUGCCGCCGCCGCACUUCCACGACCUCCUCGCCGGGCUCAGCCCUGCCUUCGCCUCCCUCUUCUUCGACCACGGCGCCGCUGACGGGGGGGACUGGCUCUAUCUCGCCGGCGGAUUAGUCGCCGCGGGCCGGGAUCUGGCCGCCUCGGCCUCCACACCGGUGGAUCCGGCGGCCGCGGGCCGGGAUUCGGCCUCCACGCCGGUCGAUCUCAGUGGCUCGCUCUCUCCUCGUCGGCACUGGAUCCGGUGACCUUCUUCCACCGGCAUGCGGAGGAGCAUUAGCGCGGGGGGCCUGGAGCACCGGCGGCGGCGGGCGGCGGCACCGUGUCCUUGAGAAGCCGUCGAUUUUUUUUUUAUUUGUGGAUUCGGGGCAGGCUUGGGGACGGCCUCAUUUUUUUUUAUUUUCUUCUAAUCCAUAUCAGUGUCGGGCGUGUAGCUUGACCGUUACUGAUGAGGUCCCUCAUCAGUAAUGGGCGGACACAUCAGUAACAGGAAGUUAGUGACGGGCGGUCCGCCCGUUACUGAUACACUUUUUUGACCGUCACUAACGAGUCUUUUUGUAGUAGUGGGAGUAACAUAGAUGAUAACAUAAGUGCCAACUAA